rnacentral:rRNA from 1 species
GAGUUUGAUCCUGGCUCAGGACGAACGCUGGCGGCGUGCCUAAUACAUGCAAGUCGAGCGAACAGAAGGGAGCUUGCUCCCGGAUGUUAGCGGCGGACGGGUGAGUAACACGUGGGUAACCUGCCUGUAAGACUGGGAUAACUCCGGGAAACCGGAGCUAAUACCGGAUAGUUCCUUGAACCGCAUGGUUCAAGGAUGAAAGACGGUUUCGGCUGUCACUUACAGAUGGACCCGCGGCGCAUUAGCUAGUUGGUGGGGUAAUGGCUCACCAAGGCGACGAUGCGUAGCCGACCUGAGAGGGUGAUCGGCCACACUGGGACUGAGACACGGCCCAGACUCCUACGGGAGGCAGCAGUAGGGAAUCUUCCGCAAUGGACGAAAGUCUGACGGAGCAACGCCGCGUGAGUGAUGAAGGUUUUCGGAUCGUAAAGCUCUGUUGUUAGGGAAGAACAAGUGCGAGAGUAACUGCUCGCACCUUGACGGUACCUAACCAGAAAGCCGCGG